UACCCGGGUUGCGGACAGUGUCUGGUGGGUAGUUUGACUGGGGCGGUCUCCUCCUAAAGAGUAACGGAGGAGCACGAAGGUUGGCUAAUCCUGGUCGGACAUCAGGAGGUUAGUGCAAUGGCAUAAGCCAGCUUGACUGCGAGCGUGACGGCGCGAGCAGGUGCGAAAGCAGGUCAUAGUGAUCCGGUGGUUCUGAAUGGAAGGGCCAUCGCUCAACGGAUAAAAGGUACUCCGGGGAUAACAGGCUGAUACCGCCCAAGAGUUCAUAUCGACGGCGGUGUUUGGCACCUCGAUGUCGGCUCAUCACAUCCUGGGGCUGAAGUAGGUCCCAAGGGUAUGGCUGUUCGCCAUUUAAAGUGGUACGCGAGCUGGGUUUAGAACGUCGUGAGACAGUUCGGUCCCUAUCUGCCGUGGGCGCUGGAGAACUGAGGGGGGCUGCUCCUAGUACGAGAGGACCGGAGUGGACGCAUCACUGGUGUUCGGGUUGUCAUGCCAAUGGCACUGCCCGGUAGCUAAAUGCGGAAGAGAUAAGUGCUGAAAGCAUCUAAGCACGAAACUUGCCCCGAGAUGAGUUCUCCCUGAGACUUAAAGUCUCCUGAAGGAACGUUGAAGACGACGACGUUGAUAGGCCGGGUGUGUAAGCGCAGCGAUGCGUUGAGCUAACCGGUACUAAUGAACCGUGAGGCUUAACCUUACAACGCCGAAG
rnacentral:rRNA from 1 species